GACGCACGCUGGCGGCGUGCCUAAUACAUGCAAGUCGAACGCAGGGGGGACGGGUGAGUAACACGUGGGUAACCUCCCAUCAGAGGGGAUAACCCUUGGCAACAGGUGCUAAACCGCUACUGCUGGAUGGACCCGCGGUGCAUUAGCUCGUUGGUGAGGUAACGGCUCACAAAGGCCACGAUGCAUAGCCGACCGGAGAGUGUGAUCGGCCAAACUGGGACGGAGACACGGCCCAGACUCCUACGGGAGGAAGGAGUAGGGAAUCUUGGGCAAUGGACGAAAGUCUGACCGAGCAACGCCGCGUGAGUGAAGAAGGUUUUCGGAUCGUAAAACUCUGUUGUUAGAGAAGCGGUAUCUAACCAGAAAGCCACGGCUAACUACGUGCCAGCAGCCGCGGUAAUAC
rnacentral:rRNA from 1 species